rnacentral:rRNA from 1 species
AUUGAACGCUGGCGGCAGGCCUAGCACAUGCAAGUCGAGCGGAUGAAGGGAGCUUGCUCCUGGAUUCAGCGGCGGACGGGUGAGUAAUGCCUAGGAAUCUGCCUGGUAGUGGGGGAUAACGUCCGGAAACGGGCGCUAAUACCGCAUACGUCCUGAGGGAGAAAGUGGGGGAUCUUCGGACCUCACGCUAUCAGAUGAGCCUAGGUCGGAUUAGCUAGUUGGUGGGGUAAAGGCCUACCAAGGCGACGAUCCGUAACUGGUCUGAGAGGAUGAUCAGUCACACUGGAACUGAGACACGGUCCAGACUCCUACGGGAGGCAGCAGUGGGGAAUAUUGGACAAUGGGCGAAAGCCUGAUCCAGCCAUGCCGCGUGUGUGAAGAAGGUCUUCGGAUUGUAAAGCACUUUAAGUCGGGAGGAAGGGCAGUAAGUUAAUACCUUGCUGUUUUGACGUUACCAACAGAAUAAGCACCGGCUAACUUCGUG